UCGGGAAUUUUGGGCAAUGGGCGAAAGCCUGACCCAGCAACGCCGCGUGAAGGAUGAAGUAUUUCGGUAUGUAAACUUCGUAAGAAUAGGAAGAAUAAAUGACGGUACUAUUUGUAAGGUCCGGCUAACUACGUGCCAGCAGCCGCGGUAAUACGUAGGGACCAAGCGUUGUUCGAAUUUACUGGGCGUAAAGGGCGCGUAGGCGGUGUGUCAAGUCAGUUGUGAAAUCUCCGAGCUUAACUCGGAACGGUCAACUGAUACUGUCACACUAGAGUACAGAAGGGGCAAUCGGAAUUCUUGGUGUAGCGGUGAAAUGCGUAGAUAUCAAGAGGAACACCUGAGGCGAAGGCGGGUUGCUGGGCUGAUACUGACGCUGAGGCGCGAAAGCUAGGGUAGCAAACGGGAUUAGAUACCCAAGUAGUCCCUGAGCGGGCUGGCAAGGCGCAU
rnacentral:rRNA from 1 species